rnacentral:rRNA from 1 species
CCUACGGGAGGCAGCAGUAAGGAAUAUUGGUCAAUGGACGAAAGUCUGAACCAGCCAUGCCGCGUGAAGGAUGAAGGCCCUCUGGGUUGUAAACUUCUUUUAUAGGGGACGAAAAAAGGGCAUUCUUGCUCACUUGACGGUACCCUAGGAAUAAGCACCGGCUAACUCCGUGCCAGCAGCCGCGGUAAUACGGAGGGUGCAAGCGUUAUCCGGAUUUACUGGGUUUAAAGGGUGCGUAGGUGGGUUGGUAAGUCAGCGGUGAAAUCUUCGAGCUUAACUCGGAAACUGCCAUUGAUACUAUCAAUCUUGAAUCAUCUAGAGGUAAGCGGAAUAUGUCAUGUAGCGGUGAAAUGCUUAGAUAUGACAUAGAACACCAAUUGCGAAGGCAGCUUACUAUGGAUGUAUUGACACUGAGGCACGAAAGCGUGGGAAUCAAACAGGAUUAGAUACCCUGGUAGUCCACGCCCUAAACUAUGGAUACUCGACAUUUGCGAUAUACUGUAAGUGUCUGAGCGAAAGCAUUAAGAUCCACCUGGAAUACGAUCGCAAGAUUGAAACUCAAAGGAUUAGNGNGNGAGAGNGAGAGAGACGAGAGGAG